GAUGAACGCUGGCGGCGUGCCUAAUACAUGCAAGUCGAGCGAACAGACGAGGAGCUUGCUCCUCUGACGUUAGCGGCGGACGGGUGAGUAACACGUGGAUAACCUACCUAUAAGACUGGGAUAACUUCGGGAAACCGGAGCUAAUACCGGAUAACAUGUUGAACCGCAUGGUUCAACAGUGAAAGACGGUCUUGCUGUCACUUAUAGAUGGAUCCGCGCCGCAUUAGCUAGUUGGUAAGGUAACGGCUUACCAAGUCAACGAUGCGUAGCCGACCUGAGAGGGUGAUCGGCCACACUGGAACUGAGACACGGUCCAGACUCCUACGGGAGGCAGCAGUAGGGAAUCUUCCGCAAUGGGCGAAAGCCUGACGGAGCAACGCCGCGUGAGUGAUGAAGGUCUUCGGAUCGUAAAACUCUGUUAUUAGGGAAGAACAAAUGUGUAAGUAACUAUGCACGUCUUGACGGUACCUAAUCAGAAAGCCACGGCUAACUACGUG
rnacentral:rRNA from 1 species